UGCCAACCGCCGUUAAAAAAAGAAGAAGAAGAAGAAGACCGGAAGUAAAUUUAUGCUGAUCGUAAAGACGAACGUCGCUUGAAAAUGAAUACCCGUGGCCUGCGCUCUCAGCUGAAGGACAGUGUUCCCGUGACAGGUCUGUGUCCACAGGCGGGUCCUUAUGGGGUUCAGGACUCUCUACGCAGGGGGUUCUCAAGCGUAAAGAAUGAGCUGCUACCAAGUCAUCCAUUGGAGCUUUC